UGAACCUGCAGUAGGAUCAUUG
rnacentral:rRNA from 1 species